GUGGGGUCGUGGGUCCCAGCCCAGUGGUCCAGGUCACGGGCCGCACGGCCGCGGCCGCCAUCUUGCCCGCGUCCGGGCUCCUGCGGCGGGCGGGGCGGUGUCCCGGCCGGAAGCGGCUGUGCGGCGGCCGCGCUGCCACCUCAGGUCAGGAAAUUUGGAUAUGUGCAGUGCAUCUCCUCGAAGAUGCUGAUGGUGGAAAUUUCUUGAAACCGCUCUCGUAAUUUGCCACGUGCUGUUGCAAAUAUUCUGGUGAAUGAACACAGAAUCAGCAUGGCUUUCCUUUGCUGAGAAAUCACUGAUGGGAAGUGAGACUUGUUAAACUUGAAAGGAGAUCUGAAUCUCAAUGUGGUAGCAAUGGCUUUAUCGGGUUAUACGGAUGAGAAGAACUCCCUUUGGAGAGAAAUGUGUAGCACACUGCGAUUACAGCUAAAUAACCCGUAUUUGUGUGUCAUGUUUGCAUUUCUGACAAGUGAAACAGGAUCUUACGAUGGAGUUUUGUAUGAAAACAAAGUUGCAGUACGUGACAGAGUGGCAUUUGCUUGUAAAUUCCUUAGUGAUACUCAGUUAAAUAGAUACAUCGAAAAGUUGACCAAUGAAAUGAAAGAGGCUGGAAAUUUGGAAGGAAUUUUGCUUACAGGCCUUACUAAAGAUGGAGUGGACUUAAUGGAGAGUUAUGUUGAUAGAACUGGAGAUGUUCAAACAGCAAGUUACUGUAUGUUACAGGGUUCACCUUUAGAUGUUCUUAAAGAUGAAAGGGUUCAGUACUGGAUUGAGAAUUAUAGAAAUUUAUUAGAUGCCUGGAGGUUUUGGCAUAAACGAGCUGAAUUUGAUAUUCACAGGAGUAAGUUGGAUCCCAGUUCCAAGCCUUUAGCACAAGUUUUUGUGAGUUGCAAUUUCUGUGGCAAGUCAAUCUCCUACAGCUGUUCAGCUGUGCCUCAUCAGGGCAGAGGUUUUAGUCAGUAUGGUGUGAGUGGCUCACCAACGAAAUCUAAAGUCACAAGUUGUCCUGGCUGUCGAAAACCACUUCCUCGAUGUGCGCUUUGUCUCAUUAAUAUGGGAACACCAGUUUCUAGCUGUCCUGGAGGAACCAAAUCAGAUGAAAAAGUGGACUUGAGCAAGGACAAAAAAUUAGCCCAAUUUAACAACUGGUUUACAUGGUGUCAUAAUUGCAGGCACGGUGGACAUGCUGGACAUAUGCUUAGUUGGUUCAGGGACCAUGCAGAGUGCCCUGUGUCGGCAUGCACGUGUAAAUGUAUGCAGUUGGAUACAACAGGGAAUCUGGUACCUGCAGAGACUGUCCAGCCAUAAAAUGUUACCACCUUAAGAGAACCCUUCAAGUGUGGAGCUUUCUAGUAGGUGUCCUUCAUAGCUCAGAAACAUACCUCAGAACAAGCCAUUCAUGACUUACCUGUAAUGGGAAAAUAAAUCAUUCUAUCAGAUCAGCAGUUUUGAUGUUUGAGUGAUUUUGAUAUGCUUCACAGAGACAAAUGCUGCCAAAAUAAACAUCGAAGUAUAGACAUGAGUUCUGUUCAGCAGGUUGAAAAGUCUGAUUUAGAAAAACUUUCUAAGUUUUGGUUGAAAUUAUGAACACUCUAGAAGCAGAAUUUCUGGAAGAGCCAAGAACAGACUUUGAGCCUAUAUCUUCAAAGCUGAAACUGGAUAUCUUUCAAUAAAAUAUGUGCACUUUUAAAAU
rnacentral:lncRNA from 1 species